rfam:Oryza barthii chromosome 5, whole genome shotgun sequence.
AAAUUCUUAGGCACGAUCUUGUGGCAGAAACUGGGUAGUUGGUGAACUCGCUACACGGUUUCUGUCACAAGAUCGUGUCUGUGAAUAU